GCCCCCGCUGCAAGCCUGCCCUCGGGUGUUGCUGGGCUCGGCCUGGCCGGGCCGCUGAGCCCUCUCGGUCGGGUACGCCUCGGCCGGCCGUGAGGAAAAGCGCUUGUGGCGGUAUCGCCUCGCAAGGGGAGAAACAUCGACGCGGAGGAUGAGGCGGUUGUGGCACCUCAGGGAUGUGCGUGUCGGAAGCAACAUCCGAGGGGAGCCCGUCUGGCUGCUGGGAAGGAUCAGUUCCUUAACUUCGCACCCUCCGGCAGAGUCACCAGACAUCAUUUAACAGAGGUUUAAGACAAAACCAGAGAGAGCAUCAGCCUGGGAAUCACAGCCCUUUGCAUACUUCCUGCCCUCUGCAGCGUUUGGCCACCCUGCCUCGCCCCAUCGGCUGCACGCUGUGCGUGGUGCCUGGUGUCCCACCGGCCUGGGGUUGUUGCACAAACAUUCCUUACAAAGACAUCUCUUGGCACAAAGACCCUGGGAGCAGGAUCCUAGGUUGAAAUGAAACCUCCUUGGAAUAAGUAAAUACCAGGGGUUUAUUUCCUAUUAAGCUAGCAGGUUGUUUGUUCAUUUUGCCGCAGUUUGCAGUGUCCGACAGAUACGGGUGGAUACUUCGUGUCUUCCUUCCUCUUUAUAUUUCCAGUCUGGGAACAGCAAAAAAGUUAGUGAAAGUGUAACAUCUGUGAGAGAGAGAGAGAGAGAGAGGGAGAGAGAGAAAAGGAUGAGGCAGGCUGGCCAGGCAGCCAGCCUCAGGAGAUGGUAACACAGAAGAGCUAUUCAUUCUGAAAGCCAGUUGCUCCUCGCCCUGCUAGAUUAUAAAUUGGACACCUUAUUAAGAGCUGAUCCUCCAGCAGCCCCACCCGGGGCUGUGCUCAUGCUCUAAACCAGUGGAACGUAAUCCUAUUUCACUAUUGAUGCCUGUUACUGGAUAAGCACAUGUGCAAGCAGGGCAGAGGAUACUAGGCAGAAAGAAGCGGCACCUUGGCUGUUUGCUGAAUUGUCAGUUCAAGGAAAGAAGAUAAAGAGUUUUGGGAGAGAGUGGGGAGGAAGUUGGUUUGCACUAGAAUUUGGGUGCUUCUAUGAUGAUGCUAGCUGCCUUACAAAUAAUUAAACCAGCAUAUUUUUUUUCUUGUUUUCUCAGUUGUAACUUAAAAAUGCUGACUCACUGGCACGCUGUGCCAACCCAAAUGUGGCUGCUGGGAUCAACCGCUGGAAGAGCCUGACGAGAUAUAACCCCAGCAUGGCAUAGGCUUCAAGUGGGCCUCCUUGGCAAAACCAGCUGGGGCAUUCAGACAAUGCUGGAUGCAUCAUGAGGAUUCUGCAUCGUCAGAACAUUUAUUCUGAAUAUUGUGUAGAUUCACGGCUGGUUGAUUCCCGUAUUGAGGUUCGGGGUCCUUGACUGUCACUGCUGUGCUGGAAAGCAAUGACUCCUCAGAUGUUCCUGGAUACCUUUAUGUAUCUGUCUCCAACUACUUUACGAGCUCAUGAAAAUGAACACAAGGCAUCUUCAACAUUUCUCUCUUCUCCUCUACUAUUUUUUACAUAGGGCACUUUUUCCAAUAACUGUUUCCUAGUAAAA